GGGUCAGUAGGUUGGUCGUGCCACCGGUACGUACUGGUCUCACUGAUUCCUCCUUCCUGAAGAACCUUAAUGCCAUUAAUUUGGUGUUGCGGGGAAACAGGACUGUUACUUUGAAAAAAUUAGAGUGUUUAAAGCAAGCUAACGCUUGAAUACAUUAGCAUGGAAUAAUGAAAUAGGACGAUCGAACCUAUUUUGUUGGUUUCUAGGAUUGACGUA
rnacentral:rRNA from 1 species